rnacentral:lncRNA from 1 species
UUUUUUUCCAAAAGAAUGAAACAUGUUUUAUCCAAACCAUUGUAUCCACAGGGGGAAAAGGGAAAGAAAGGCAAAAAGGGGCCUAAAGGGGAGAAAGGAGAACAGGGUGCUCCUGGAUUAGAUGCACCUUGCCCAUUGGGUCCUGAUGGAUUACCAAUGCCUGGCUGUUGGCAAAAGGUAGGAUGGGUAGAGCUGUUCUCCCCAGGGCAGCAUGUCUUUGGCACACAGAAAACCCUAUCACAGUCAUACUGAGCAAUACUUCAGAGCGUCUUAGGCAUCUCAACAUAUGCAGCAACACAAAAUAAGACCUCUCUGUGACCAUAGUUAGUGCGAUGAGGUUGUAAUGUAUAAUAGAAGUAGUAUCUCAUUGAGGCAGUAUUUUAGAAACAGCUGGCAUUAGAUUUCUGGGAAGCCUAAAAUGUUUUCAUAUGAAGAGUCAC